AAGAACCCUAGGAAAACCCUACCCACAUGACAGAAAAGGGGAACGAGAGGAACGAAGAGGCGCACAAACGAUAUCCAAAGAAAUGCAGUAAUAUGGACAGUCCCAGGCAGUUCAUACAGUGAAGAGAAUCAUCAAAGAGGGGGGAAACCAUACCUUUGGGGCUGAAGGGUGUGGAGAGCGGAAGCACGAAUGAGCAGGGGUCGCGAGAGAAGAGAUU
rnacentral:lncRNA from 1 species